rnacentral:rRNA from 1 species
UACGGAGGAUGCAAGCGUUGUCCGGAAUCAUUGGGCGUAAAGGGUCCUGAGGUGGUUUGCUCAGUCCACUGUGAAAGUUCAGGGCUUACCCUUGAAAAUGCGGUGGAAACUAGCAGGCUAGAGUACGGUGGGGGCAGAGGGAAUUCCCGAUGUAGCGGUGAAAUGCAUAGAUAUCGGGAAGAACACCGAUGGCGAAGGCACUCUGCUGGGCCGACACUGACACUGAAAGACGAAAGCCAGGGGAGCGAAUGG